rnacentral:rRNA from 1 species
CCAUGCCGCGUGCAGGAAGACGGCCCUAUGGGUUGUAAACUGCUUUUAUACGGGAAGAAAAACAGCUACGUGUAGUUGACUGACGGUACCGUAAGAAUAAGGACCGGCUAACUCCGUGCCAGCAGCCGCGGUAAUACGGAGGGUCCGAGCGUUAUCCGGAAUUAUUGGGUUUAAAGGGUCCGUAGGCGGGCCAUUAAGUCAGGGGUGAAAGUCUGCGGCUCAACCGUAGAAUUGCCUUUGAUACUGGUGGUCUUGAGUUAUGGUGAAGUGGCUGGAAUAUGUAGUGUAGCGGUGAAAUGCAUAGAUAUUACAUAGAACACCGAUUGCGAAGGCAGGUCACUAACCAUAUACUGACGCUGAUGGACGAAAGCGUGGGGAGCGAACAGGAUUAGAUACCCUGGUAGUCCACGCCGUAAACGAUGGAUACUAGCUGUCCGGGUCCUUGAGACCUGGGCGGCCAAGCGAAAGUGAUAAGUAUCCCACCUGGGGAGUACGUUCGCAAGAAUGAAACUCAAAGGAAUUGACGGGGGCCCGCACAAGCGGUGGAGCAUGUGGUUUAAUUCGAUGAUACGCGAGGAACCUUACCAGGGCUUAAAUGCAUAUUGACAGGGGUAGAGAUACCUUUUCCUUCGGGCAAUUUGCAAGGUGCUGCAUGGUUGUCGUCAGCUCGUGCCGUGAGGUGUCAGGUUAAGUCCUAUAACGAGCGCAACCCCUACCGUUAGUUGCCAGCGAGUCAUGUCGGGGACUCUAACGGGACUGCCGGUGCAAACCGUGAGGAAGGUGGGGAUGACGUCAAAUCAUCACGGCCCUUACGUCCUGGGCCACACACGUGCUACAAUGGCCGGUACAGAGAGCAGCCAUCUGGCAACAGAGAGCGAAUCUACAAAACCGGUCACAGUUCGGAUCGGGGUCUGCAACUCGACCCCGUGAAGCUGGAAUCGCUAGUAAUCGGAUAUCAGCCAUGAUCCGGUGAAUACGUUCCC